rnacentral:misc_RNA from 1 species
GAUGAAGAACGCAGCGAAAUGCGAUACGUAAUGUGAAUUGCAGAAUUCAGUGAAUCAUCGAAUCUUUGAACGCAUAUUGCGCUCUCUGGUAUUCCGGAGAGCAUGCUUGUUUGAGUAUCAGUAAACACCUCAACUUCCAUAUCUUUUUUGAAAUGGGAGUUGGACUUGAGUGAUCCCAACGCUUUUCCUCACCGAAAAGUGGCGGGUUACUUGAAAUGCAGGUGCAGCUGGACUUUUCUCUGAGCUAUAAGCAUAUCUAUUUAGUCUGCCUAAAAAACAGAUUAUUACCUUUGCUGCAGCUAACAUAAAGGAGAUUAGUUCUUGUGCUGACUGAUGCAGGAUUCACAAAGACGGCUUCGGCCGACUUUGUAAACUCGAUCUCCAAUCAAGUAAGACUACCCGCUGAACUUAAGCAUAUCAAUAAGCGGAGGA